CCUACGGGUGGCAGCAGUGAGGAAUAUUGGUCAAUGGCCGUAAGGCUGAACCAGCCAAGUAGCGUGAGGGAAGACUGCCCUAUGGGUUGUAAACCUCUUUUAUGAGGGGAUAAAGUUGUCCACGUGUGGAUGUUUGCAGGUACCUCAUGAAUAAGGAUCGGCUAACUCCGUGCCAGCAGCCGCGGUAAUACGGAAGGUUCGGGCGUUAUCCGGAUUUAUUGGGUUUAAAGGGAGCGUAGGCCGGUCUUUAAGCGUGCCGUGAAAUUCUGUGGCUCAACCCUGGGAGGGCGGCGCAAACUGGAGGCCUUGAGUGGGCGGAAGGCAGGCGGAAUUCGUGGUGUAGCGGUGAAAUGCUUAGAUAUCACGCAGAACCCCGAUUGCGAAGGCAGCAUGCCGCAGCGUUACUGACGCUGAAGCUCGAAAGCGCGGGUAUCGAACAGGAUUAGAUACCCUUGUAGUC
rnacentral:rRNA from 1 species